rnacentral:lncRNA from 1 species
CCGUUGGCCGACCUUCUUCAGCAGCAAGAUGGGUGAUGACAUGCAGGUUUGUGACCUUAUUACUGAAGACGGUACGUGCUGGAGAGCACAAGAGAUCACUCAGCUUUUUUGGCGGCCCUUUUGUUGAUCGGAUCUUCGCCAUCCUGAUUCCUAUGCAUUCCAGUUAGGACAUUAAGGUGUGUUAGGAUUUGAUGCUUCAAGAUUCAGCCCAUAUUGAGCCCAC